CUGAAAGAGAGGAUGUUUAUCUUGGUCAUUGGGGAUGGGCCAUUACCAUUGUGACGUCGGCGCCCAUGGGUGCUCUCCCUUUUCAAAACGUUUUGAAAGACAAUGCAACCGUCCCAAUGGAAUAUUAUUGAAGCCCUGGUUGAAAAAGCCCCUAAAGAUUUAUGUUAUACAACGUUUGACAUGUUUGAACGAACUUAAAUAUAUAUUUUUUGCUCAUUCCUGACGACAAGUCAGACGCACACGGUACAUUUUCACUAGCCUUCGGAGCGCGCUAACACUAUUGGGACAUAAAUUAUUAACUUUUUUUAACAAAACUACAUUUGUUAUGGACCUGGGAUUCCUAGAAGUGCCUUCUGAUAAAGAUAAUCAAAGAUCUGUGCCUCGACACAAUCCUGUCUCAGAGCUCUACGGACAAUUCCUUCAACCUCACGGCUUGGUUUUUGCUCUGACAUGCACUGUCAACUGUGGGACCUUAUAUAAACAGGUGUGUGCCUUUCCAAAUCAUGUCCAAUCAAUUGAAUUUACCACAGGUGGACUCCAAUCAAGUUGUAGAAACAGGUCAAGGAUGAUCAAUGGAAACAGGAUGGACCUGAGCUCAAUUACGAGUCUCAAAGCAAAGGCUCUGAAUACUUAUGUAAAUAAGGUAUUUCUUUUAUUAAAUGUUUUAAAAUUUGCACAAAAAUGAUUUGAUCCAUUUUAGAAUAAGGCUGUAACGUAACAAAAUGUGGAAGAAGUCAAGGGGUCUGAAUACUUUCCGAAGGCAUUGUAUAGAGAAAGCAGUGGAGGCUGCUGAGGGGAGGACGGCUCACAAUAAUGCCAGGAACAGAGGAAAUGGAAUGGCAUCAAACACAUAGAGGCCAUGUGUUUGUUAUAUUUAAAACCAUUCGUCUUAUUCUGCUCCAGCCAUUACCACAAGCCUGUCCUCCCCAAUUAAGGUACCACCAACCUUCUGUGAUAGAGGUUAGUGGGAGAUAAAUUACAGUCAUUAUUUUUUUUCUCCUCCCUCUUUGUUGAAUGACAUUGAUAUGAGUUUGUUCUGUCGUGGUUAAGGAAACAAGUGGAUCAUGUUCUUAAAGUAUUUCUAAAGUAUUAUAAUCAGUCUACUGUAUGUAUUAUUAUUACUGUUGUCAAACCAAUGCUAAGGAUCUUACAUGGUUUAAUACCAAAACAAUUGCGUUAGUGCCAGCUGCACAUGUGAUAUUACAUUGAAUGUGGAGAGGUGACACAAAGGUCACAAAGUAACAGUACUUUAGUAACAGGCUUUAGAUUUAAAAAAAUGUUGCAUAGUUUGGAUUACUUGUAAGGGCACCUUGAUUAAGGGGAACAUUGUCUCUAUGGCAGAAUGCCAAAAUGAUUAUGAUUUAUUCAAUGGAUUAUAUAUUCUUUAUUGAAAAACACUGCAUGUUGAUGAUCUAUUCACAAGGGUGAUUUUGUUCAUUUCAAGGGGAAUAAUUUGAAAUUACAAAGAACCAGAAGACCCCCUAGAUAGAUAUAUGUCUGCAGGGUUGUAUUGUGAAGUCAAUAUAAAACCAGGUUUGGGUCAAUUUGGAAUUUCUGGAUUUAAUUCAAUUCAAACAAUGAUUCUUAAUUGAAUUUGAAUUGGCCACACCCCACAACAAGCAUAAUUUGAACUGAAUUUGAAUUGAAGGUAGUAGAAUUUAAUUCAAUCCAAUUCAAACCAAUUCAACUGAGAAGUGAAACUUAACAUUUUCAUUAAUUUGACAAAUCUUUUAUCAAAAGGAUAUGAUCCAUUAAUGCAAAGAAUACAAAUACUAUACCACUCAAAAAUGUCAAACAGUAUUUUUCUUUGUCACGAGAUGGGUUGUUCCACAAAAUAAGUGCCUUUUGCAUCCCUUUGAUAUUUUAAGUAGAAAUUGUGCACCAAUAUUACAUUACCCAAAUCUAACUGCCUGUAGCUCAGGACUUGAAGCAAGGAUAUGCAUAUUCUUAAUACCAUUUGAAAGGAAACACUUUGAAGUUUGUGGAAAUGUGAAAUGAAUGUAGGAGAAUAUUACACAUUUGAUCUGGUAAAAGAUAAUACCAAGAAAAAAAACAUGUUUAUAUAUAUUUUUUCUUUCAUCAUCUUUGAAAUGCAAGAGAAAGGUCACAAUGUAUUAUUCCAGUUCAGAAGCUAUUUAGAUUUUGGCCACUAGAUGGCAGCAGUGUAUGCGCAAUGCUUUAGACUUAUCCAAUGAACCAUUGCAUUUCUGUUCAAAAUGUUGUAUCAAGUCUGCCCAAAUGUGCCUAAUUGGUUUAUUGAUACAUUUUCAAGUAACUGUGCACUCUCCUCAAACACUAGCAUGGUAUUAUUUCACUGUAAUAGCUCCUGUAAAUUGGACAGUGCAGUUAGAUUAACAUGAAUGUAAGCUUUCUGCCCAUAUCAGAUAUGUCUAUGUCCUGGUAAAUUUGCUUGUUACUUACAACUUCAUGCUAAUCACAUACAUACGUUAGCUCAACCGAGGUUAGUAUAGAC
rnacentral:lncRNA from 1 species